rnacentral:rRNA from 1 species
UCCCAGAGGUCCAAGUCGCAGCCACAAUUAUUGGGUCUAAAACAUCCGUAGCUUGCUUUGUAAGUCUCUUGUGAAAUCUGGCCUCUUAAGGGUCGGUCGGGCAAGAGAUACUGCGAAGCUAGAGACCGGGAGGCGUAUGGAGUACACACAGGGUAGCGGUAAAAUGCGUUGAUCCUGUGUGGACUAACAAUCGCGAAGGCACCGUACGAGAACGGAUCUGACAGUGAGGGAUGAAGGCUAGGGGCGCAAAGUG